rnacentral:rRNA from 1 species
CCCGCACAAGCGGUGGAGCAUGUGGUUUAAUUCGACGAUACGCGAAGAACCUUACCUGGCCUUGACAUAGACAGAAGUUUCCAGAGACGCAUACGUGCUAGUUUACUAGAGCUUUCAUACAGGUGCUGCACGGCUGUCGUCAGCUCGUGUCGUGAGAAGUUGGGUUAAGUCCCGCAACGAGCGCAACCCUCGUGUUUAGUUACUAACAGUUCGGCUGAGGACUCCAGACAGACUGCCUGGGUAACCAGGAGGAAGGUGAGGACGACGUCAAGUCAUCAUGGCCCUUACGGCCAGGGCUACACACGUGCUACAAUGGGGUAUACAAAGAGCCGCAAUACCGUGACGUGGAGCAAAUCUCAUAAAAUAUCUCCCAGUUCGGAUUGAAGUCUGCAACUCGACUUCAUGAAGUUGGAAUCGCUAGUAAUCGUGAAUCAGCAACGUUACGGUGAAUACGUUCCCGGGUCUUGUACUCACCGCCCGUCACACCAUGGGAAUUGAAUUCAUUCGAAGCGGGGAUGCUAAAAUAGCUACCUUCCACAGUGGAUUUAGUAACUAGGGUGAAGUCGUAACAAGGUA